rnacentral:rRNA from 1 species
AGAGUUUGAUCCUGGCUCAGGAUGAACGCUAGCUACAGGCUUAACACAUGCAAGUCGAGGGAAACGAUAUUGGAAGCUUGCUUCCGAUAGGCGUCGACCGGCGUACGGGUGAGUAACGCGUAUCCAACCUGCCCACCACUUGGGGAUAACCUUAGCGAAAGUAAGACUAAUACCCAAUGACGUCUCUAGAAGACAUCUGAAAGAGAUUAAAGAUUUAUCGGUGAUGGAUGGGGAUGCGUCUGAUUAGCUUGUUGGCGGGGUAACGGCCCACCAAGGCGACGAUCAGUAGGGGUUCUGAGAGGAACGGCCCCCCACAUUGGAACUGAGACACGGUCCAAACUCCUACGGGAGGCAGUA